CUGUACAGCCUUCUAGCUUUCC
rnacentral:miRNA from 8 species